UACGGAGGGGACUAGCGUUGUUCGGAAUUACUGGGCGUAAAGCGCACGUAGGCGGAUUUGCUAGUCAGGGGUGAAAUCCCGAGGCUCAACCUCGGAACUGCCUUUGAUACUGCAAAUCUCGAGUCCGGAAGAGGUGAGUGGAAUUCCUAGUGUAGAGGUGAAAUUCGUAGAUAUUAGGAAGAACACCGGUGGCGAAGGCG
rnacentral:rRNA from 1 species